GUAAGUGUGUAAGAGCGUACGGUGGAUGCCUUGGCACCAGGAGCCGAUGAAGGACGUAGGAGGCUGCGAUAAGCCUCGGGGAGCUGUCAACCGAGCUGAGAUCCGAGGAUGUCCGAAUGGGGAAACCCAGCACGAGUGAUGUCGUGUUACCCGCGCCUGAAUGUAUAGGGCGUGUGGAGGGAACGUGGGGAAGUGAAACAUCUCAGUACCCACAGGAAGAGAAAACAAUAGUGAUUCCGUGAGUAGUGGCGAGCGAAAGCGGAAGAGGCUAAACCGUGUAGAUGUGAUAGCCGGCAGGCGUUGUCUAUGCGGGGUUGUGGGGCUCAUUUUCUCGUUACUGCCGUGGCGAGCAACAGUCAGAAAAGUUCGUGUUAGCUGAAUUGGUCUGGGACGGCCAACCAUAGACGGUGAGAGUCCGGUAAGCGAAAACACGUGCUCUGUUGUAGUGAGUACCCGAGUAGCAGCGGGCCCGUGAAAUCUGCUGUGAAUCUGCCGGGACCACCCGGUAAGCCUGAAUACUCCCUGGUGACCGAUAGCGGACUAGUACCGUGAGGGAAAGGUGAAAAGUACCCCGGGAGGGGAGUGAAAUAGUACCUGAAACCGUGCGCUUACAAUCCGUCAGAGCCUGCGCCUAGUUUACUAGGGUGGGUGAUGGCGUGCCUUUUGAAGAAUGAGCCUGCGAGUUAGUGGCAUGUGGCGAGGUUAACCCGUGGUGGGGUAGCCGUAGCGAAAGCGAGUCCGAAUAGGGCGGUUUGAGUCGCGUGUUCUAGACCCGAAGCGGAGUGAUCUACCCAUGGCCAGGGUGAAGCGACGGUAAGACGUCGUGGAGGCCCGAACCCACUUAGGUUGAAAACUGAGGGGAUGAGCUGUGGGUAGGGGUGAAAGGCCAAUCAAACUCCGUGAUAGCUGGUUCUCCCCGAAAUGCAUUUAGGUGCAGCGUCACGUGUUUCACGCCGGAGGUAGAGCUACUGGAUGGCCUAGGGGGCCCACAAGCUUACCGAAGUCAGCCAAACUCCGAAUGCCGGUGUGUGAGAGCGUGGCAGUGAGACUGCGGGGGAUAAGCUUCGUAGUCGAGAGGGAAACAGCCCAGAUCGCCGGCUAAGGCCCCUAAGCGUGUACUAAGUGGAAAAGGAUGUGGAGUCGCGAAGACAACCAGGAGGUUGGCUUAGAAGCAGCCACCCUUGAAAGAGUGCGUAAUAGCUCACUGGUCAAGUGAUUCUGCGCCGACAAUGUAGCGGGGCUCAAGUACACCGCCGAAGCCGCGGCACUCCAACAUGACAUCCACAUCCGACUACGGUUGGGUGUGCAGUGGUUGGGGUGGGUAGGGGAGCGUCGUACAGCCAGGGAAGCAGCGGUGUGAACCAGUUGUGGAGGCUGUGCGAGUGAGAAUGCAGGCAUGAGUAGCGAAAGACGAGUGAGAAACUCGUCCGCCGAAUGACCAAGGGUUCCUGGGCCAGGUUAAUCCGCCCAGGGUGAGUCGGGACCUAAGGCGAGGCCGACAGGCGUAGUCGAUGGACAACGGGUUGAUAUUCCCGUACCCGUGUAUCCGCGCCCAUGCUGAAUCAGUGGUACUAA
rnacentral:rRNA from 1 species